rnacentral:pre_miRNA from 1 species
AGGCGUUCUGCGUCAUAGGCGGACAUGCUAACCUCUGCGCUACGGUGGCCUCCGAUCUUUUAGCAAAUAUGCCUUAAAUGGGAUGAGGCCACCGUAGCGCAGAGGUUAGCAUGUCCGCCUAUGACGCUGAACGCC